GAUGAAGAACGCAGCGAAAUGCGAUAAGUAAUGUGAAUUGCAGAAUUCAGUGAAUCAUCGAAUCUUUGAACGCACAUUGCGCCCGCCAGUAUUCUGGCGGGCAUGCCUGUUCGAGCGUCAUUUCAACCAUCAAGCCCCCGGCUUGUGUUGGGGACCUGCGGCUGCCGCAGGCCCUGAAAAGCAGUGGCGGGCUCGCUGUCACACCGAGCGUAGUAGCAUACAUCUCGCUCUGGGCGUGCUGCGGGUUCCGGCCGUUAAACCACCUUCAUAACCCAAGGUUGACCUCGGAUCAGGUAGAAAGACCCGCUGAACUUAAGCAUAUCAAUAAGCGGAGGA
rnacentral:misc_RNA from 1 species